rnacentral:rRNA from 1 species
UACGUAGGUGGCAAGCGUUGUCCGGAAUUAUUGGGCGUAAAGAGCUCGUAGGCGGCUUAGUAAGUCGGGUGUGAAACCUCCAGGCUCAACCUGGAGACGCCACCCGAUACUGCUGUGGCUAGAGUCCGGUAGGGGAGCGUGGAAUUCCUGGUGUAGCGGUGAAAUGCGCAGAUAUCAGGAGGAACACCAGCGGCGAAGGCGGCGCUCUGGGCCGGUACUGACGCUGAGGAGCGAAAGCGUGGGGAGCAAACAGG